UAACUUCUUUAGGAAAAAAAGGUGGCAAGUUUCAGAACAUAUCACUUAAGAGAUCUAAUUUACAUGCACCUGUGUUGUAGAAUGAAGGAAAAAGUUUAAAGUUUUUUUUUUUUAUAAAAAAAGAAGUCAAUAAGCUGUUGAAUUGUUUCAAAAACUCACAGUACUAUACAAUUAUCAGAUGUGAAUUGGGUUAGACCAGUGGCGAUUCCCCACCUCCAAAUUUUAUAUAUGACAUGGGUAAUUUUAUGAUGUGAGCCCCACCAAAUACGUCAUUUAAAUGAAAUUAUAAAUCAAAUCUUUCUUAUACAUAAAGCUAAUGAAAAUUUUGCUAGAAACAUGCAACUUGUUCAAUGGCUCUUUUUAAUAUGCUAGAGACCAAAAUCUCACAUUAGUUUAAUCAGGGCAUUCUUCUCUUUGAACUGUGCAAGCCAUGGCUCCACAGAUAUCAAUCAUGAAGAAAUUAUGACAACCACUGGGAUCUCUCUCUCUCUCUCAGAGAGAGAGACAGCAAACAGGUUCAUGCAGAGGACUUGAUGGAUAUGGGGACUUACAGCCUAUUUGGGCAGAAAGUCACGCCUGAGACUACUCGGUCCAAAUUGGUAUGGUCUUAUCCAAAAAGUAAAUAACAUAGA
rnacentral:lncRNA from 1 species